UGUAAACACUCAGUAUGAGUUCCAGUUCCCGGGUGCUUGGACGUUGCGGAUCGGCUUAAAAAACGCAUCGGAAGCGAGCAUAUUCUGUUUGCCAGCAAUUCGAAAUGAGUUAAAAUGUGUGCAAAAUAUGAUACAAAUAUAUGCCAUAUACGGCACAUGGGCUGCUAUCCAUGAAAAAGUGUUAAGUGUGGUGUGUCAUAUGGAUCGAAAUGGAUCCAUGUGUUGAAGAUGUGCUUGCCAAAUAUAAAAAACCGAAAAGUAGAGGGGUUAAUGAUAAUCCUCUAGCUGAAUGGAAUAACAGAUUCUACGGGCACUCACACAGCAAAUAAAUUGUCCUGCCGCCUGAUUAGCAUUCCAGGAUACAAAGUAAUACACAACUCCAGAGGACAGUUCUCCAUUUUGGGCACAUUUAAAAUUCAGAACGCGUUGAGCACAUUAUCACUUCCCAUUGGACCGAGAUGACUUCAUUUUCGUGCCAUAUGCCACAUGCCUAUGCCGGUGCUGUACUUGUGGUUCCAGCCGCUCCUCUUAAGUUGCUGCCAUGAUUUACUACAAGCAGAUGAUUUAAUAUAACCGCAUAUCUGGAUAUAGAACCACGCACACACCCGGCCAGAGUGCACUUCAGAUGCAUUCGACUGUGUUCGACUGCAUUCGACUGCAUUCGACUGCACUGGAAACAAGAACCCGUUGAACUGGCCCACAAACAGAGGCAGACACCCCACACAUGUUGCCAGUGAAGCGUCCGUUUUGGAGGAAAUAUGGGACGACUGCUAAAGGUUCUCCAUCUUGAAAACCGACGCCUUAAGAAGACGACAACUCAAUUGAAUAUUUAAACAAAAAAGUGCGUAAAUCAAGGCCGAAGGGCUCGUCAAGAUGCUAGCCAAAUCCGACGUCAAAACAAAUCGUUAAAAGGCCAUAAAAGCCGAAGCCAUAUGCAAUCACUGAGCCCCGGCGAAGGCAAAUGCAUUCGAAUAAAAUUUUAGCGCCAUUUCCUCUGGCAUCAUCAGCGUCAUGAGGAGCAUCUCAUCUCAUCACAUCACAUCAAACUAACGGCGGCAGCUUCCGAGGCACCUCGUAAAAGUAAUGAUGUCUAUGGGCCAUCAGCAUUUGUAUCUACACGAAGGGGAUAUCACAAUAAUUAUGGCAUACGUCACGGAACUUGGGUUUUAUGUCUUUUAUAUUGAUUGUCAUCGUGUCACACUAACAGAUCGUAAAAAGGUCGUAAAGUCCGCAGACUCAAACUCCAAACUCGAAACUCACUCACGCCGAAAAUGAACGCAAACGCACAUCCCCGAGGCACUCAGGAUCACAAAGGACAAUCGAACCAACUGCGAUGCUGAGAAUAAGGACGAGGAUGUUCGGAUCGCUUUGAGUGAGUUUCAGGAGAUUAUUUUUACCAACGGAUUUCAGCCACUCAAGUGGCGGUGGCGUCAAGUCGUAAAAAGAACAUAAAACUUCGGCCUGUGUUUUGGUAUUAACCGCAAUUUGUUUAUAUAGUUGUUAAAAUGCCAUUCUAUCUUGUUCCGCUCUGUUCUGCUUAGCAUUUAAUUGCCGACUGCCGGU